UUUGUUUGUUUGUUUUUCCUCUGAGACUGAAAUUAGAGCACUAAGAAAUUUGUUAAAUAAAAGGCAGAUAUCUACACCUUGUCAGGACCAUAAUGAGUUAUUUUGGUAUCUGGGAUGCUGCCUGAGCUGGCCCUCUGCAUCCCAACAGCUGCUGCAACCAUGUCCUCUGUGUCUGCUCCAGACAGAGGAGCUACAGCAUCAGUGACCAAAGCACCUCAGAAACCAACAGAUAAGUGCUUCCCUUUUGCUCUGUCCCACCUGGAGCCCUGGGGAGAAAAAUGGGGGUGCAUCUUCCCUUUGGCAUCAGGCACUCUGCUAGUAUUCAUGCGCUCUGAAUGACUCCUCUGUGCAGACCGCUGCUCUGUGGGAGACAGGAUACAAAGAGACACUCAUAUAAGCAAGCCUGCUGGCAUUUGUGAAAGAAUGUGGAUGUUGUGUGCCAGCUACAGUGUUUCUUAAUGGUCAUUAAGG
rnacentral:lncRNA from 1 species